rnacentral:rRNA from 1 species
UGGGGAAUAUUGGACAAUGGGCGAAAGCCUGAUCCAGCCAUGCCGCGUGUUUGAAGAAGGUCUUCGGAUUGUAAAGCACUUUAAGUUGGGAGGAAGGGCAGUAAGCGAAUACCUUGCUGUUUUGACGUUACCGACAGAAUAAGUACCGGCUAACUCUGUGCCAUCAGCCGCGGUAAUACAGAGGGUGCCAGCGUUAUUCGGAAUUACUGGGCGUAAAGCGCGCGUAGGUGGUUCGUUAAGUUGAAUGUGAAAGCCCCGGGCUCAACCUGGGAACUGCAUCCAAAUCUGGCGAGCUAGAGUAGGGCAGAGAGUGGUGGAAUUUCCUGUGUAGCAGUGAAAUGCGUAGAUAUAGGAAGGAACACCAGUGGCAAAGUCGACCACCUGGGCUCAUACUAACACUGAGGUGCGAAAGCGUGGGGAGCAAACAGG